GGCCCCAUCGUCUAGUGGUUAGGACAUCAGCUUUUCAAGCUGACGGCCGGGGUUCGACUCCCCGUGGGGCUA
rfam:Candidate division WOR_1 bacterium DG_54_3 WOR1_52_54_7849, whole genome shotgun sequence.